CAAACAAGAGGAACUCUCCUCCUCUUUAACUUUAUUUCCUUGAUUAGCUCUAAAAAAAUAAUCACCCGGCUGGACUUGGGGGAAGUUUUUUAGGGGCUGUUUGAAAGCAGAGGGCUCCUCUCCUGCAGGUGCUGCGGGGAUGCGCCUCACCAUGGGCAGCUACAAAAAUCCCUGCAAAGUGGUCCCUGCUGGCAAAAAGAACCCUCAAGACAAAACCCAAGGUUUUGUAUUGAAUUUUACCCUGCCAGAACACUGCAUGUAUUGAAAGAAAUCUUGCUGGGUCAGUGUGACUGUUCCGGUCGGCUCUCCUUGUCCUCAUUCGAAAGCCCUGCACAGCCCCAGCCCUGCCAGCUCCCCACAGCCAACCCCAGCAGCUUCACCACGAGAUCAGCCACACAGACCAAAAUUAACGAAGCUCCCGAUCGCUGAUAACGCAUUUAGAGGUUUAUUACGGAGUAUGAAAAUCAGGAAGCUUUUUGUUCACUUCAUACAUCUCUUCCGACAAAGCCAGGCAUCAGAACCCGGCACAGACUCCAGAGUGAUUAUUGUUACACAUGAUCUAUGGAGCAGAUAAAUUACAGCUUGAUUUUUAUAAGGUUUCUCAGAGCUGGAGAAGGGCAGAUGGGGACAUGGGCUCCUGCAGCAGGGGCUGUUCUUGCAUCACCCACUGGCCGAGCCUCAGAAGUGACCUAACAUAAGUGGAGUGGAAAGCAAGUCUGUUGCACCGGAGCUGUCGGCCAUGCUGUUCCAGUUCAGGGGCUCCUGCAACAGAAAAGAUCAGCUGUUGGAGAACCCAUGGAAAGCCCUGGGGGAGAGCCAUGGCCGCAAGGUAAUCAGCAGGCAAAGUUAUUACCAUUAUGCUGCUAAUUAAUUCCCAGCUCAUUACGUUUCCUGUGGCUAAUUUGUACUCGCCGCUGAUUUGAUUAAACUCAUCUCUAUGCUAAUAAAUGUGUUUUCCAUUUGUUUUAGCGACUGUAGGAAGAGAGCCCGGUAUUUACAUAUUUUGACGUUUAUCAAAUAAAACGCGGUGCCUG
ensembl:lncRNA